UACGUAGGGAGCAAGCGUUGUCCGGAAUCAUUGGGCGUAAAGCGCGCGUAGGUGGCCAUUUAAGUCCGCUGUGAAAGUCAAAGGCUCAACCUUUGAAAGCCGGUGGAUACUGGAUGGCUAGAGUACGGAAGAGGCGAGUGGAAUUCCUGGUGUAGCGGUGGAAUGCGCAGAUAUCUGGAGGAAUACCGGUGGCGAAGGCGGCAUCCUGGACCGGCAUUGACGCUGAUGAGCGAAAGCCAGGGGAGCAAACGGG
rnacentral:rRNA from 1 species